AUAAACGCAAUGACAUGGAAUAUUAAGCGCAAGACUCCUCACAGAGAGAUGCCAUAGGCUGAAAGGCAUCAGGAAAGUUAAACGCCGAACUCGCCAUCGAGCGGCUGUGCCGAACACAACAAGUAGGUUCAGACGGAAGCAACCGUUAUUUUGCAGGAAUAUGAAGUAUUCCAUGAGUGCAUUCCGAUAGGAAUGAAAAAGAGUGGUACCACGGAAGUUUGUCCUUUCGUCUCUUAU
rnacentral:ncRNA from 1 species